AGCAGCGUGGCUUAGCGGAGAGAGCAAGGGCUUGGGAGUCUGAAGUCAUGGGUUCUAAUCCCAGCUCUGCCA
rnacentral:tRNA from 1 species